rnacentral:rRNA from 1 species
AACGUAGGACGCAAGCGUUAUCCGGAGUUACUGGGCGUAAAGCGCGGGCAGGCGGUUCUGCCAGUCUGAUGUGAAAUCUCCCCGCUCAACGGGGAGCAGCCAUUGGAAACUACAGAACUGGAGUCUGACAGAGGUAGGCGGAAUUCCGGGUGGAGUGGUGAAAUGCGUAGAGAUCCGGAGGAACACCAGAGGCGAAGGCGGCCUACUGGGUCAGUACUGACGCUGAGCCGCGAAAGCCAGGGGAGCGAACGGG